AUACAAGUAUUAAAUAUAUUUCCGUUGUCUGGUACCCGUAACACAAGUCCUUCAGGCACUUAGCAAGGGGCCAGACUGACGUGGUGUGAAGCGUCCAUAGAUAU